ensembl:lncRNA novel transcript
CUGAAAAGAGAGCUUAUUGUACCUCACGCACAGCAGCAGGUUUAACAGAAAAGUAGACAUGUUUAUAGUCCCAGAUUUACAGCACACCUUAUAAACACCUUAUUACUUAGAAUCCAGUCUGCUGUCCCAGAAACUAAGAAUGUGACUUUGUUAAGCAGUAGGAUUUGUUGACAUAAAUGUCUUGACUAAGUUUGCCAUUGUGGUUAACCAAAACGCAUUUACUCCUGGGAAAGUAAACACAAGCAAACAAAAUGCCUCUUAUACUACAAUACGGUUGCAAAGUCCAAGAUCAAGGGACUGGAAUCUUAUGAGGGCCUUCUGCUAUGAGAGUCACAUGGCAGAAGGGCAAGAGAAGACAAGAGAGAAUGCAAGAGGAGGAAAAACUCAUCCUUUUAUGAUGGCACUAAUUCCACUCAUGAGGGUGUAGCCCUAAUGGCCUCAUCACCUCUUAAAGGACCUACUUCUUACUUCUGUUACACUGACAAAUUGCAACAUGAGUUUUGGAAAGGACAAACAUUCAAACCAUAGAAUUAUGCUCCUGCCCACCCCCACCUAAACUCAUGUCCUCACACACAAAAUACAUUCGUUGCUUCCCAGUA